rnacentral:rRNA from 1 species
UACGUAGGGUGCGAGCGUUAAUCGGAAUUACUGGGCGUAAAGCGCGCGCAGGCGGCGAUGUAAGACAGAUGUGAAAUCCCCGGGCUCAACCUGGGAACUGCAUUUGUGACUGCAUCGCUGGAGUGCGGCAGAGGGGGAUGGAAUUCCGCGUGUAGCAGUGAAAUGCGUAGAUAUGCGGAGGAACACCGAUGGCGAAGGCAAUCCCCUGGGCCUGCACUGACGCUCAUGCACGAAAGCGUGGGGAGCAAACAGG